UACAGAGGGUGCGAGCGUUGUCCGGAAUCACUGGGCGUAAAGGGCGCGUAGGCGGCUUGAUAAGCGUGCGGUGAAAGCCCGGGGCUCAACCCCGGGUCGGCCGUGCGAACUGUCGAGCUGGAGCACUGUAGAGGCAGGUGGAAUUCCGGGUGUAGCGGUGGAAUGCGUAGAGAUCCGGAAGAACACCCGUGGCGAAGGCGGACACUCUGGGACGGUACUGACGCUGAGACGCGAAAAGCGUGGGGAGCGAACAGG
rnacentral:rRNA from 1 species